AAUCAACGCUGGCGGCGUGCCUCAGACAUGCAAGUCGAACGAUUAAAGCUCUCUUCGGAGAGUGUAUAGAGUGGCGCACGGGUGAGUAACACGUAAGUAAUCUACCUUUGAGUGGGGAAUAACCCGGGGAACCCGAGCUAAUACCGCAUAAUGCAGCGGCACCGCAAGGUGACAGUUGUUAAAGGAGCAAUCCGCUUAAAGAGGAGCUUGCGGCAGAUUAGCUAGNGGUAAGGUAAUGGCUUACCAAGGCUUCGAUCUGUAUCCGGCCUGAGAGGGCGGUCGGACACACUGACACUGAAUAACGGGUCAGACUCCUACGGGAGGCAGCAGUCGGGAAUUUGGGCAAUGGGCGAAGCCUGACCCAGCAACGCCGCGUGAAGGAU
rnacentral:rRNA from 1 species